GAUGAACGCUGGCGGCGUGCCUAAUACAUGCAAGUAGAACGCUGAAGGAGGAGCUUGCUCUUCUGGAUGAGUUGCGAACGGGUGAGUAACGCGUAGGUAACCUGCCUGGUAGCGGGGGAUAACUAUUGGAAACGAUAGCUAAUACCGCAUGACAACAGUUAUUGCAUGAUAACUGUUUAAAAGGGGCAACUGCUCCACUACCAGAUGGACCUGCGUUGUAUUAGCUAGUUGGUGAGGUAACGGCUCACCAAGGCGACGAUACAUAGCCGACCUGAGAGGGUGAUCGGCCACACUGGGACUGGGACACGGCCCAGACUCCUACGGGAGGCAGCAGUAGGGAAUCUUCGGCAAUGGACGGAAGUCUGACCGAGCAACGCCGCGUGAGGGAAGAAGGUUUUCGGAUCGUAAAGCUCUGUUGUAAGAGAAGAACGAGUGUGAGAGUGGAAAGUUCACACUGUGACGGUAUCUUACCAGAAAGAGACGGCUAACUACGUG
rnacentral:rRNA from 1 species